rnacentral:rRNA from 1 species
UCACUAGUAGAUGGACCUGCGUUGUAUUAGCUAGUUGGUGAGGUAACGGCUCACCAAGGCNACGAUACAUAGCCGACCUGAGAGGGUGAUCGGCCACACUGGGACUGAGACACGGCCCAGACUCCUACGGGAGGCAGCAGUAGGGAAUCUUCGGCAAUGGGGGCAACCCUGACCGAGCAACGCCGCGUGAGUGAAGAAGGUUUUNGGAUCGUAAAGCUCUGUUGU